UACGAAGGGGGCUAGCGUUGCUCGGAAUUACUGGGCGUAAAGGGCGCGUAGGCGGACAGUUUAGUCAGAGGUGAAAGCCCAGGGCUCAACCUUGGAAUUGCCUUUGAUACUGGCUGUCUUGAGUUCGGGAGAGGUGAGUGGAAUGCCGAGUGUAGAGGUGAAAUUCGUAGAUAUUCGCAAGAACACCAGUGGCGAAGGCGGCUCACUGGCUCAUUUCUGACGCUCAGGCGCGACAGCGUGGGGAUCAAACAGG
rnacentral:rRNA from 1 species